UUUGACUUGCAGGAUUAUUACUGGAAGAAAAUCUAUACAAGUGUGCUUUUCGAUGGCCACGGCAGACUUUUUAAUUUCUUUGAUAAUUCCUUCACUCUUCUGUUUUGGUACAGCUGGGACUGACCUGCUUUGUUCCUUCAUUACAGCGUUUUGCUUAGGUAUUAAUAACAGGAGAAGGAGGCUCUGAUGCUCAAACUCGUCCCUGAAACUCAGCAAGACUUCUCAACUUCAAAUCCCCAGACCAGCCUCAUGGAUUUUAUUUAUGUAUUCAUUUAUUUAUAUGAUUUCUGGUGCUGAGACACGGAUGAAAAAUUAAGACAUAAAUUCAUCAGCAAGACCUAGAGGAGAGCAAGAUUAAAAUUUGAACCCCUGAACUUCCAGGCACCUCCUGCCACAGAAAUAACAAGAUCAUCACUGAACUCCACAAACAAAGGGAGCUCUCUCUCCUCCCCCAACAGCUGGCGAAAAGGCAGGCCUGAGAAUACACAGGCUCAAGACAUCACUCAGAACAUCCCAAACCAAAACAAAAGCAAUGCACCAAACAGCCAAAAACAAACAGAGGUGGGAUCAGAUUCCAGCAAGCCCUGUGGGACAGCAAGCUCAGACUGAGGAAUGGGGCUGACAUGCUGGGGAUUCACUAAAGAAAAGCAGGAGGCAUAGGAGAGAGUUGAGGCUGGUAUCAGAAGAAUGAAACGACCGACCCCUGUGAACCAGAUACCUUACAGAUGUCCUCUCAUUUCAUACUCACAACAGCCUUAUAAAAAAAGCCUUUUUCCUGGGGCACCGACUUCAGACAGUGCUGUUCUUCACCUCAGAGUACUUUCCCUGCCUACACUUCUGACGGAUUCUUCUUGAAUUAUUCCUCAUUUCGAUGUGCCCUCUGAACACUGCUGGGACCCUCACUGACCAGCACAGCAACAUGGGGCAGGCCUGCUCCAGGCUCUGGGUCCCCAACAGUUUUCAGAAGGUACACUUAAGAAAGCCUCUUGGAUGCGCAUGAGAAAGAAUGACAAGGAUAUUUACGGCAGCACUGUUUAUAAUAGCCAUAAAGGUAAGUAACUUAAUAGGGGUCUAAAUAAAUUGUGGUAUAUUUUUACA